rnacentral:rRNA from 1 species
ACGGGAGGCAGCAGUAGGGAAUAUUGGGCAAUGGGGGAAACCCUGACCCAGCAACGCCGCGUGAGGGAAGAAGGCCUUCGGGUUGUAAACCUCUGUCCUAUGGGACGAAUAGAUGACGGUACCAUAGGAGGAAGCUCCGGCUAACUACGUGCCAGCAGCCGCGGUAAUACGUAGGGAGCAAGCGUUGUCCGGAAUUACUGGGCGUAAAGGGUGCGUAGGCGGUUUGGUAAGUCAGAUGUGAAAUACCCGGGCUCAACUCGGGGGCUGCAUUUGAAACUGUCAGACUUGAGUGCAGGAGAGGAAAGCGGAAUUCCUAGUGUAGCGGUGAAAUGCGUAGAUAUUAGGAGGAACACCAGUGGCGAAGGCGGCUUUCUGGACUGUAACUGACGCUGAGGCACGAAAGCGUGGGGAGCAAACAGGAUUAGAUACCCUGGUA